rfam:Varibaculum cambriense DORA_20 Q618_VCMC00001, whole genome shotgun sequence.
GGUGGGUUGGUCGAGUGGUUAGGCAGCGGCCUGCAAAGCCGUGUACACGGGUUCGAAUCCCGUACCCACCU